AUUCCUUGUCGGGUAAGUUCCGACCUGCACGAAUGGCGUAACGAUGGCCACACUGUCUCCUCCUGAGACUCAGCGAAGUUGAAAUGUUUGUGAUGAUGCAAUCUCCCCGCGGAAAGACGGAAAGACCCCAUGAACCUUUACUGUAGCUUUGUAUUGGACUUUGAACAGAUCUGUGUAGGAUAGGUGGGAGGCUUUGAAGCGGUGCC
rnacentral:rRNA from 14 species